GAUGAACGCUAGCUACAGGCUUAACACAUGCAAGUCGAGGGGAAACGGCAUCGAAAGCUUGCUUUUGAUGGGCGUCGACCGGCGCACGGGUGAGUAACGCGUAUCCAACCUGCCCAUCACUUGGGAAUAACCUUGCGAAAGUAAGACUAAUGCCCAAUGACAUCCCACGAAGGCAUCCGAAUGGGAUUAAAGAUUUAUCGGUGAUGGAUGGGGAUGCGUCUGAUUAGCUUGUUGGCGGGGUGACGGCCCACCAAGGCAACGAUCAGUAGGGGUUCUGAGAGGAAGGUCCCCGACAUGGGAACUGAGACACGGGCCAAACUCCUACGGGAGGCAGCAGUGAGGAAGAUUGGUCAAUGGGCGAGAGCCUGAACCAGCCAAGUAGCGUGCAGGAUGACGGCCCUAUGGGUGGUAAACUGCUUUUAGAAGGGAAUAAAGUGGGUCACGUGUGACUUUUUGCAUGUACCUUAUGAAUAAGGACCGGCUAAUUCCGUG
rnacentral:rRNA from 1 species